rnacentral:rRNA from 1 species
GAUGAACGCUGGCGGCGUGCUUAACACAUGCAAGUCGAACGGAAAGGCUCCUGCUUGCCGGGGCACUCGAGUGGCGAACGGGUGAGUAACACGUGGGUGAUCUGCCCUGCACUUCGGGAUAAGCCUGGGAAACUGGGUCUAAUACCGGAUAGGACCAUCGUUUAGUGUCGGUGGUGGAAAGUUUUUUCGGUGUGGGCUGAGCUCGCGGCCUAUCAGCUUGUUGGUGGGGUAAUGGCCUACCAAGGCGUCGACGGGUAGCCGGCCUGAGAGGGUGUACGGCCACAUUGGGACUGAGAUACGGCCCAGACUCCUACGGGAGGCAGCAGUGGGGAAUAUUGCACAAUGGGCGCAAGCCUGAUGCAGCGACGCCGCGUGGGGGAUGACGGCCUUCGGGUUGUAAACUCCUUUCGCCGGGGACGAAGCGAAAGUGACGGUACCUGGAUAAGAAGCACCGGCUAACUACGUG